GAUGAACGCUGGCGGCGUGCCUAAUACAUGCAAGUCGAGCGAACAGACGAGGAGCUUGCUCCUCUGACGUUAGCGGCGGACGGGUGAGUAACACGUGGAUAACCUACCUAUAAGACUGGGAUAACUUCGGGAAACCGGAGCUAAUACCGGAUAAUAUAUUGAACCGCAUGGUUCAAUAGUGAAAGACGGUUUUGCUGUCACUUAUAGAUGGAUCCGCGCCGCAUUAGCUAGUUGGUAAGGUAACGGCUUACCAAGGCAACGAUGCGUAGCCGACCUGAGAGGGUGAUCGGCCACACUGGAACUGAGACACGGUCCAGACUCCUACGGGAGGCAGCAGUAGGGAAUCUUCCGCAAUGGGCGAAAGCCUGACGGAGCAACGCCGCGUGAGUGAUGAAGGUCUACGGAUCGUAAAACUCUGUUAUUAGGGAAGAACAAAUUUGUAAGUAACUAUGCACGUCUUGACGGUACCUAAUCAGAAAGCCACGGCUAACUACGUG
rnacentral:rRNA from 1 species